rnacentral:rRNA from 1 species
UACGGGGGGGGCAAGCGUUGUUCGGAAUUACUGGGCGUAAAGGGCUCGUAGGCGGCCCUCUCAGUCGGAUGUGAAAUCCCCAGGCUUAACCUGGGAACGGCAUCCGAUACUGGAGGGCUUGAAUUCGGGAGAGGGAUGCAGAAUUCCAGGUGUAGCGGUGAAAUGCGUAGAUAUCUGGAGGAAUACUGGUGGCGAAGGCGGCAUCCUGGACCGAGAUUGACGCUGAGGAGCGAAAGCUAGGGGAGCGAACAGG